rnacentral:rRNA from 1 species
CGAUGGUUCAUUCAAAUUUCUGCCCCAUCAACUUUCGAUGGUAGGAUAGUGGCCUACCAUGGGGAUCAACGGGUAACGGGGAAAUUAGGGUUCUAUUCCGGAGAGGGAGCCUGAGAAACGGUACCACAUCCAAGGAAGGCAGAGGCGCGCAAAUUACCCAAUCCCGACACGGGGAGGUAGUGACAAUAAAUACUGAUACAGGGCUCUUUUGGGUCUUGUAAUUGGAAUGAGUACAAUUUAAAUCCCUCAACGAGGAACAAUUGGAGGGCAAGUCUGGUGCCAGCAGCCGCGGUAAUUCCAGCUCCAAUAGCGUAUAUUAAAGUUGUUGAGGUUAAAAAGCUCGUAGUUGAACCUUGGGCCCAGCCGGCCGGUCCGCCUCACCGCGUGCACUGGCUCGGCUGGGCCUUUCCUUCUGGAGAACCGAUGCCCUUUACUGGGUGUGCCGGGGAACCAGGACUUUUACUCUGAACAAAUUAGAUCGUUAAAGAAGGGCUAUGCUCGAAUACAUUAGCUUGGAAUAAUAGACUAGGACGUGUGGUUCUAUUUGUGGUUCUAGGACCGCGUAAUGAUUAAU